UACGGGGGGAGCAAGCGUUGUUCGGAUUUACUGGGCGUAAAGAGCGCGCAGGCGGCUGGUCAAGUCCGAUGUGAAAUCUCCCGGCUUAACUGGGAAACUGCAUCGGAAACUGAUCGGCUUGAAGGUGGGAGAGGGUAGUGGAAUUCCCGGUGUAGUGGUGAAAUGCGUAGAUAUCGGGAGGAACACCAGUGGCGAAGGCGACUACCUGGCCCAUUCUUGACGCUGAGGCGCGAAAGCUAGGGGAGCGAACGGG
rnacentral:rRNA from 1 species